AACCGCAUGCAGGUAAACGGGUGGCGUCAAGCUGCGAACCCAGAGGAUUCAGCUGGCUAGGAUGUUGUGAUGCGCCUGGCGCAUCGAUCAGUCGGAAUAAGAUGUGAUAGUCCACUGGGAGACGGUGGGCCCGGCCGCAAGGCUGGGAUAUGUGUACCGGGUGUUAGCCGGAGCAUGCUAUUCAUCUGUUGGGCUGUCUAGUCAGUGCACUUUCUCUGUGGUGAACACCACGACCGGUGGAAUUGCCAGUCUGCUGUAGUCAAGUCUUGCUGAGAGGGUCCUUGUGGCCAACUUGGUAGGAUCACGGGCAAUGUCAGUGAACGGCGUAGGAGUGCCUUUGGUGUUCUUACGUGUUAUCGGCCACUGCUUGUCAACGGGCCUGCCCGGUGGUUGUUGUAACUGCCAUUGGGUGGUCUGGUGGGCUAUGGUGGUAAGAAAAACUGUGCAAGGCACCGGAGAUGUCGGCCUCAAAUGCACUCUGCACUGGCAUGUUACAAGUGCGAGGGGGUGCCAUUGCGGUCUGCCUGUUGUUGAGUCUGAUUGUCGUGUCGCCUGCGCAAAGUGGGCCCGGCAGUGGCUUGAUGCAGGACGGGCCGUGGAUGGUGUCUCUCAGGUGUAGGGUGCGGUGGGCCCAAUAGUCAGUGGUGCUGUGGUAGACGAGCUACCCGACCCGUCUUGAAACACGGACCAAGGAGUUUAACAUGUAUGCGAGUCAAGGGGUCCUACGAAACCCAAAGGCGCAGUGAAAGUAAAGCUUCGACUUGUUCUCGGAGUGAGGUGAGAUCCUGCCGUGACUCGCAUCGCUUGGUGCCAGCAUCAGGCAAAGAGCGGUAGGCGCAUCACCGGCCCGUCCCAUGAUGUGGUCAUUGGAUGUCUGCAGUCGUUGCUUGC
rnacentral:rRNA from 1 species